UUUGUUACUUCAAACCAAUCGGACUUCGGUCUGACAUCAAGUGAUAUUGAACAAUUUAGCUGAUCGCACGGUCUAAGAACCGGCGACAUAUCCUUCAAAUGUCUGCCUUAUCAACUUUCGAUGGUAGAUUAUGCGCCUACCAUGGUUGUAACGGGUAACGGAGAAUCAGGGUUUGAUUCCGGAGAGGGAGCCUGAGAAACGGCUACCACAUCCAAGGAAGGCAGCAGGCACGCAAAUUACCCACUCCCGGCACGGGGAGGUAGUGACGAAAAAUAACAAGCUGGUCCCAAUGAGUUCCAGCAUUGUAAUGGGAACAAUUUAAAUCUUUUAUCGAGGAUCUAUUGGAGGGCAAGUCUGGUGCCAGCAGCCGCGGUAAUUCCAGCUCCAAUAGCGUAUAUUAAAGUUGUUGCGGUUAAAAAGCUCGUAGUUGGAUCUAGGAUUAGGGCUACGGUCGUUCAGCUUGGACGUACUGUAUGCCCGACUCCUUUUCUCUAGUAUUCGAUUGUUGCUCUUAAAUGAGUGACUUUAGUUGCUGGAACUUUUACCUUGAAAAAAUUGAAGUGCUCAAAGCAGGUU
rnacentral:rRNA from 1 species